rnacentral:lncRNA from 1 species
UGUAGUGAUGGCGACAGCCAAAGUUGGAUCUCCUUGGCGACAGCCAUAGCUGGAUCUCCUUCCGCAAAGAUAUGUUCUGUGCAAGCGCGAUCUGAUCUGGUCUGAUCCAGCCCUGGUGCAGAGACUGACCUAGAUCUGUUGAAUCGCUUACCUGCUGUCAACACACUAGUGGUCGAGUUCGUGGUAUAGUUCUUGUUUGAUUGCGAUAACCUAGGGCCAAAACCAACCUAACCCUGGCUGCACCUGUUGUCAACGAGUGAACACACACUAGUAUUGGCUGGUUUCAGCUCACAUGAGCAUGAGAUCUAGCUCAUGACAUAUGGCUGUAUCACAAAUUCGCAAUACUUGCUGGGUGAUUUCACAAUACUGGGUUGCAGCUGCAUGCAUUUUAGUUCACCGUGCAAAACAAAAGUAAAAUAGUAUCUCAUCAGCUGAUAUGCCUGCUGUUAGCAUGGAUGAUAGUAGUGACACAACAUAAUUUUUGUGAGGAUAUCUGUCCCUUAUUUCAUUUAUUGUGUUUGGUUUCCUUGUUGAUUUCACUCACUUGUUUGUCAUGUACCAUCCAGUCAUCAACAUAUGUGUAUAAUAUUGAGAGAGAUCCACCUACAACUUAACAUGUUGCGUUAUUGUGUAUCCUUUUCAUCCAAUGUUGCUUAGUGUUUAUAGUCUGUAGUUUUGAAACAUCAGAUAAGUUGAGGAGUAUGCAUUUCCUUUUGUUUACUCCAUGUAGAGAUAGUUGAAUGUAUACUCUUCAUUCAUAGUUACCAUGAUGGCAUACCUUUGCUUCUGUUAUUCAAUGUUACUAAUGCCAACUAGAAUUUUCAUGCAUUGGUCUUGUUUGUUGUCUGUACUGCCUCUUGAAACUAGGAAAUGGAUGCAGAUGGCUUUUAUCUAUCAAAAUUUAAUUGUGUAUGCAAGCCAACA